rnacentral:pre_miRNA from 13 species
CGACGGAACAUUAUUACUUUUGGUACGCGCUGUGACACUUCAAACUCGUACCGUGAGUAAUAAUGCGCUGACG